rnacentral:rRNA from 1 species
CCUACGGGAGGCUGCAGUGAGGAAUAUUGGUCAAUGGCCGGAAGUCUGAACCAGCCAAGCCGCGUGAAGGACGACGGUGCCAAGCAUUGUAAACUUCUUUUGUCAAGGGACAAAAUCAGGCUCGAGAGCCUGACCGAGGGUACUUUAAGAAAAAGCAUCGGCUAACUCCGUGCCAGCAGCCGCGGUAAUACGGAGGAUGCGAGCGUUAUCCGGAUUUAUUGGGUUUAAAGGGUGCGUAGGCGGACUGUUAAGUCAGCGGUAAAAGCCCGGGGCUCAACCCCGUAGAGCCGUUGAAACUGGCUGUCUUGAGAUGUCGAGAGGUAUGCGGAAUGCGCAGUGUAGCGGUGAAAUGCUUAGAUAUUGCGCAGAACUCCGAUUGCGAAGGCAGCAUACCGGCGGCGAUCUGACGCUGAGGCACGAAAGCGUGGGUAUCGAACAGGAUUAGAUACCCCAGUAGUC